AUAAGGAUGCAAUGCAGUGGUCUAACUCUGAGAAGUGGCUUGGAGCCAUUAAAUCCAAAUUGAAGUCUAUGAAAAUCAAUAGUGUAUGGACACUAGAUGAUUCACCUGAAGGGAUAAAACCCAUUGGCUGUGAAUGAAUUUUUUAAAAGGAUCAAAGUAGCGCAGAUAGGAAGGUGGAGACCUAUAAAGCCCAUUUCGCUAUCAUCCCAG
rnacentral:lncRNA from 1 species